AACGCACGAGACCUGCGGACCUGCGGAGGGAUCAUUACUGAGUGAGGGCCCUCUGGGUCCAACCUCCCACCCGUGUCUCUUGUACCAUGUUGCUUCGGCGAGCCCGCCUCACGGCCGCCGGGGGGCAUCUGCCCCCGGGCCCGCGCCCGCCGAAGCCCCCUCUGAACGCUGUCUGAAGAUUGCAGUCUGAGCGAUAAGCAAAAAUUAUUUAAAACUUUCAACAAUGGAUCUCUAGAUCGG
rnacentral:misc_RNA from 1 species